GGAAGGGUUCUCGAGUGGCCAAAGGGGGCAGACUGUAAAUCUGUUAGCUACGCUUUCGAAGGUUCAAAUCCUUCUACUUCCAUCA
rnacentral:tRNA from 1 species